GGACCAAUAGCUCAGGUGGUUAGAGCGCACGCUUGAUAAGCGUGAAGUCGCAGGUUCAAGUCCUGCUUGGUCCA
rnacentral:tRNA from 1 species